GGGAGGGGCUCUGCGCACACCAACCAACGGCUGAGCAGGACUCAGCGUGAUAAUAGGGUGGAGGGUACGGGCGCAUAGCAAGGGUGGAGUGCCGAGGCCUGCACCUGCCCUGGCUCUAUCAUAAGACUACCAUUCCCACAGGACACCCCAGCUUCCCUCAGGCCUCCAAAGCCUUCCCAUCACUUUAAGUAUCUCAAAAAGGUAAUGAACUACCAAUAGAAGCUCCCAGCUGUUCCUUGCAAGCUGUGAAGAAACCGAGGGCGGGUGAGCACGGAGAAAUCAGCAGACGGGAAACCACGAGGCAGGGCUCCGGGACCACGCACUGGGCUCUGGCAAACCACUGGGAGGUUUCAGACCCCUCACUGGGCGCCCGCUCCCUCAGCUGUCGGAUGGGAGGGCUGCAUCAGAUGACUCUACAUGCCCGUGCCUGGUCUACCUUCCGAGGCCCUCCAUCAAGUAAUUUACAGAAAGAGUCUGGAAGGACCAAAGGCAAAUCCUUCACACAACAUGAACAGCAACAUUCAAAGCUUAUACGGAAAAGAUUUUAGAAAUCUAAAUACUCAACAACCAACGUUUCAAUUUACAAAAGCAACAAUAGCAUGACUGAAACAAUCCUUCUAUCGAUCCUCCUUCAAACAUGACGAAUAUUUACUGAGCACCACCAUGUGCCUGCCACUCUUCUAAGCUCCCGGGGAUUGAAGAGUGGAUAAAAUAUACAAUGUUUUACUGCCACCAGGAAGUUGACAGGAAAUUUUGCUCAAAAUAUUAAAUGUCAAAUGUGUUUUAA